UGUUCAUUUCACUUCAUAACGCAUAAAUCUCUCGCCUUUUACUGAAGAUUUCAGUGGAGGGGAACUCAUUGAGUGUAAGGCUGUUUUUUAAUGGCCCAUUUAAUGAGCUU